rnacentral:rRNA from 1 species
CAGCAGCCGCGGGAAUACGAAGGGUGCAAGCGUUACUCGGAAUUACUGGGCGUAAAGCGUGCGUAGGCGGCUUUUUAAGUCGGAUGUGAAAUCCCUGAGCUUAACUUAGGAAUUGCAUUCGAUACUGGGAAGCUAGAGUAUGGGAGAGGAUGGUAGAAUUCCAGGUGUAGCGGUGAAAUGCGUAGAGAUCUGGAGGAAUACCGAUGGCGAAGGCAGCCAUCUGGCCUAAUACUGACGCUGAGGUACGAAAGCAUGGGGAGCAAACAGGAUUAGAUACCCCCGUAGUCCCUGUCUCUUAUAC